rnacentral:rRNA from 1 species
GACGAACGCUGGCGGCGGGCUUAACACAUGCAAGUCGAACGAGGUCCAUCUUGUAGCAAUACAAGUGAAGACCUAGUGGCGAACGGGUGAGGAACACGUGAGAAAUUUGCCCCGAACUUUGGGAUAACAGUUGGAAACGACUGCUAAUACCGAAUGCCGUUACGAAGUGGCAUCACUUUGUAACGAAAGAAUUUCGGUUCGGGAGAAUCUCGCGGCCUAUCAGCUUGUUGGUGAGGUAACGGCUCACCAAGGCUACGACGGGUAGCUGGUCUGAGAGGAUGAUCAGCCACACUGGGACUGAGACACGGCCCAGACUCCUACGGGAGGCAGCAGUGGGGAAUCUUGUGCAAUGGACGAAAGUCUGACACAGCCACGCCGCGUGCGGGAAGAAGGCCUUCGGGUUGUAAACCGCUUUCAGUAGGGAAGAAGCGAAAGUGACGGUACCUACAAAAGAAGCACCGGCUAACUAUGUGCCAGCAGCCGCGGUAAUACAUAGGGUGCAAGCGUUGUCCGGAAUUAUUGGGCGUAAAGAGCUCGUAGGUCGUUUGUUACGUCGGAUGUGAAAACCUGAGGCUCAACCUCAGGCCUGCAUUCGAUACGGGCAAACUAGAGUUUGGUAGGGGAGACUGGAAUUCCUGGUGUAGCGGUGGAAUGCGCAGAUAUCAGGAGGAACACCAAUGGCGAAGGCAGGUCUCUGGGCCAAUACUGACACUGAGGAGCGAAAGUCUGGGGAGCAAACAGGAUUAGAUACCCUGGUAGUCCAGACCGUAAACGGUGGGCACUAGUUGUGGGAACCUUCCACGGUUUCUGCGACGCAGCUAACGCAUUAAGUGCCCCGCCUGGGGGAGUACGAUCGCAAGAUUAAAACUCAAAGGAAUUGACGGGGCCCCGCACAAGCAGCGGAGCAUGCGGCUUAAUUCGACGCAACGCGAAGAACCUUACCAAGGCUUGACAUAUAGGGAAAAGUGGCAGAGAUGUCAUGUCCGCGAGGGCUCUAUACAGGUGGUGCAUGGUUGUCGUCAGCUCGUGUCGUGAGAUGUUGGGUUAAGUCCCGCAACGAGCGCAACCCUUAUCCUAUGUUGCCAGCGCGUAAUGGCGGGGACUCGUAGGAGACUGCCGGGGUCAACUCGGAGGAAGGUGGGGAUGACGUCAAGUCAUCAUGCCCCUUAUGUCUAGGGCUGCAAACACGCUACAAUGGCCGGUACAAAGGGCUGCGAAACCGCGAGGUUUAGCGAAUCCCAUAAAGCCGGUCUCAGUUCGGAUUGGAGGCUGCAACUCGCCUCCAUGAAGCUGGAGUUGCUAGUAAUCCCGGAUCAGCACGCCGGGGUGAAUACGUUCCCGGGCCUUGUACACACCGCCCGUCACACCACGAAAGUCGGCAACACCCGAAGCCGGUGGCCUAACCGUAAGGAAGGAGCCGUCGAAGGUGGGGUCGGUGAUUGGGGUG